AAUAAGUUACCGCCGGGUAACCUGGUUUAACGUCUUUGCCGCUCUGUAGGCCGUAGAAGGAGCGGGCGGGGGCGUUUUCUUUUUU
rnacentral:ncRNA from 1 species